rnacentral:rRNA from 1 species
CCUACGGGCGGCUGCAGUGAGGAAUAUUGGUCAAUGGGCGGGAGCCUGAACCAGCCAAGUAGCGUGCAGGAUGACGGCCCUACGGGUUGUAAACUUCUUUUGCAGGGGAACAACGCGCCGCACGUGUACGGCUUGGCAUGUACCCGGAGAAAAAGCACCGGCUAAUUCCGUGCCAGCAGCCGCGGUAAUACGGAGGCUUCGGGCGUUAUCCGGAUUUAUUGGGGUUAAAGGGUGCGUAGGCGGCAGGCUAAGUCUGCCGUGAAAUUGCCGGGGUCAACCCCGGUCGUGCAGUGGAAACUGGCGGGCUUGAGUGAGCGAGAAGUAUGCGGAAUGCGUGGUGUAGCGGUGAAAUGCAUAGAUAUGACGAAGAACUCCGAUUGCGAAGGCAGCAUACCGGCGCGGAACUGACGCUGAGGCACGAAAGCGUGGGGAUCGAACAGGAUUAGAUACCCGAGUAGUC